UUUUCACUCGGAGAGAGAUAAAUUCGUGGUGCCGGCGCGGGAGUUGAAGAACCGGCUUGGAUAGAAACCGGUUCAGUUGAAGUUGUUGGUGAAGAAUUCAACCACAACAGUUCACGAACAACGUCCAUUCAUAUCAUCUCCUAAGGGCUUUUGAGGCGUUUCCAAAUUGCGAACGAGGAGUUCAGGAAAAGUGCUGCUGCCGAGUCCGACACCUCGUUUGAUCUACGCAAUGGCUCAACAACACAGAGUUAUAAUACAGAAUAGCCAUGGUGAAAAGCUUGUUGGAAUCCUGCAUGAUACCGGAUCAAGCGAGCUCGUUAUUGUUUGCCAUGGAUUUCAGUCCUCGAAGGAUCGCAUUCCUAUGGUGAACCUCGCCACUGCUUUAGAGAAAGAAGGGAUGAGUGUUUUUCGUUUUGACUUUGCUGGAAACGGAGAAAGUGAAGGUUCAUUCCAGUAUGGCAACUACCGCAGAGAAGCUGAUGAUUUACGUGCUGUUGUGCAACAUUUCCAUGGAAAGGAACAUACAGUGACCGCAAUAAUUGGACACAGUAAAGGGGGGAAUGUAGUUCUCUUGUAUGCUUCAAAGUAUCGAGACAUUCAUACAGUUGUUAAUAUAUCUGGCCGUUUUAACCUUGAAAGAGGGAUUGAAGGUCGCUUAGGUAAAGAGUUUUUGCAAAGAAUUAAGCAAAAAGGGUUUAUUGAUGUCAAGAAUAGGAAAGGGAAGAUCGAAUAUCGUGUCACUGAAGAAAGUUUAAUGGACCGACUAACUACCGAGGUUCAUGCAGCAUGCUCAGCAAUUCAGCGUGACUGUAGGGUUUUGACGGUUCAUGGAUCAAUGGAUAAAAUUGUACCAGCUGAAGAUGCUGUCGAGUUUUCCAAGUCCAUAGCAAAUCAUGUUCUAUGCAUCAUGGAAGGGGCUGAUCAUGAAUAUACUUCUCACCAAGAUGAAUUGGCUUCAGUUGUUGUGAACUUCGUUAAAGCUAAUCUUCAUCUGCACAAAGAUACAACCGAGCCGCAGCUGUGCAGAAAGCCCGACAGAGGUGGCCGUUCCUGUUUGUAAAUCUCAGUUCCUCCUUCAAGAUAUUAGAUGAUAAAAGAGAUGAUUCUAGAAAAGGGUUGCACGCACAAAAGGCAUCUUGGCAGUGGGAGUAGUCCCGAUCACUACACAUCAACAAAGGGUUUGGUUUCUUUACAGAAAAGAAAAGAAGCACGCGACAAUGAGAGCGAGAAGGCGAUCAUUCUCAGAGACAGUACAAGCAAGGCAGUGAAACUGAUGGAGCCCACCAACAAAUACAUGGCGCAUGGCGCAUGCUACUCUGUUUGAUGAUUAUGCCUUACAAAUUUGAGAUCUUGAUUCGGAGAUCAACCUUGCAAUCGGCGUCGGAGACGGGGGCUACCGUCGGCUGUUUCCCCUUCGGCGGUGUUCCUU